UACGUAGGGGGCAAGCGUUGUCCGGAUUUAUUGGGCGUAAAGAGCGUGUAGGCGCCAAACAGGUCCGUUGUGAAAACUGGAGGCUCAACCUCCAGACGUCGACGGAAACCGUGUGGCUAGAGUCCGGAAGAGGAGAGUGGAAUUCCUGGUGUAGCGGUGAAAUGCGCAGAUAUCAGGAAGGAACACCAGUGGCGAAGGCAGGUCU
rnacentral:rRNA from 1 species